rnacentral:rRNA from 1 species
GACGAACGCUGGCGGCGUGCUUAACACAUGCAAGUCGAACGGAAAGGCCCUGCUUUUGUGGUGUGCUCGAGUGGCGAACGGGUGAGUAACACGUGAGUAACCUGCCCUUGACUUUGGGAUAACUUCAGGAAACUGGGGCUAAUACCGGAUAGGAGCUCCUGCUGCAUGGUGGGGGUUGGAAAGUGUCGGCGGUUGGGGAUGGACUCGCGGCUUAUCAGCUUGUUGGUGUGGUAGUGGCUUACCAAGGCUUUGACGGGUAGCCCGCCUGAGAGGGUGACCGGGCACAUUGGGCCUGAGAUACGGCCCAGACUCCUACGGGAGGCAGCAGUGGGGAAUAUUGCACAAUGGGCGGAAGCCUGAUGCAGAAACGCCGCGUGCGGGAUGACGGCCUUCGGGUUGUAAACCGCUUUCGCCUGUGACGAAGCGUGAGUGACGGUAAUGGGUAAAGAAGCACCGGCUAACUACGUG